UACAGAGGGGGCAAGCGUUAUUCGGAAUUAUUGGGCGUAAAGGGCGCGUAGGCGGCCUGGCAAGUGGAAGGUGAAAUCCCUCGGCUUAACCGAGGAACUGCCCUCCAAACUGCUUGGCUUGAGUCCGGGAGAGGAGAGUGGAAUUCCCUGAUGUAGCGGUGAAUGCGUAGAUAUCAGGAAGAACACCCGUGGCGAAAGCGGCUCUCUGGAACGGUACUGACGCUGAGACGCGAAAGCGUGGGGAGCGAACAGG
rnacentral:rRNA from 1 species